rnacentral:lncRNA from 1 species
UUUAAUGCGUAGUAAUUUUAAUGCGUAUUAAUUUUAAUGCAUAAUAAUUUUAAUGCGUAAUAAUUUUUUUUUAAACUAUAUACCGCUCCAUCUUUUGUUUGCCAUUUUUUUUAUUCUAUUUUUACCUUUUUUUACCCUUUUUUACUUUUUUUUUUUUUUUUUUUUUUUUUUUUUUUUUUUUUUUUUUUUUUUUGUCCAAGUCCUGUACGGAUAACAAACACAAAACAAGCAAAGAAAGGUUACAGAAAUUGUUUAAUAAUGAGAUCGAAGUAAAAGAUUUAAUGCGUUUCUAUUUAUUCUAUAGUGACUACUGUAAAAAUAAAAAAAGGAAAAUAAAAAGAUCUAUAAGAGUAGGUAAGCAACAGAUUGGUAAUAUAAAACAACCAUCAGGUACAAGAGGCAAAAAAAAAAUACAAAGUAGUGUAUCAUAUAAUAAAUAUAGUAACACAUAUCAUGUAAAAGCGGGUGAUAGUUACGGUAGUGUCACUGUUAAUGACAGUUGUGGUGCCAGUUGCAAUCGUAACUGUAAUUUUGAGUGUUGCGGUAGUAGUAACAGUAGUAUUAACAGCAGUAUUAACAGCUCUGAUAUAGAAAACAUGAUAAAAAAUAGAGAAAAUAAAAAAGAAAAAUUAGAAUCCAAUUUUUAUAAAGAUAAAAAAGAUAUACAUAAAUGCUUAACAAAAAAAAGUUGUAUUGAACUAAUUUUUUUAAUUCUUUAUAUUAUAAAUAAUUUUUUUCAAAUUAAUAAAUACAACUUAUAUUUUGCUAAUAUAAAAAUAUAUUAUGAAAAAGGGAAAGAAAAAAAAAAAAAAGUUCAUAACGAGUUGGAUAAAUGUUGUUCUUCUAUUAAUUGUUCGCGUAGACCCGACAAUAGUCAUACUCUUGACGUCAGUACUGACUUGCAUAAAGAUAGUGAAGAGUAUUGUACUAGUAAACCGGAUAAUAUUACUAAAGCAAAUGACACAACUUCUCCUACAUCAGAACCUCCUUUACCAACACCAUCCUCAUGGUCACCCGUAAUUGACAAUAUGGAUAGUACCAAAGUGAAAAAAGAAGAAAAAAGUAAAAGUGUAACAAAAAGAUGUUAUAGUGAAUUUGAAAACAAUAAAGAAGGAGGAGAAAGAGAAAAAGCGAAUAAAAAUACAUAUGACUACAUAAACGAAGCAAAGAUGCACAAAAAAAUAAACAAAUCGAUGGUUCAUAAAACGGCAGAAUUAUAUAAAAUGCAUGAAAUUGUAGAUGAUUAUUGUACUGAUGUUGUUAUUACUACUAAUGAAAAUACUGUUACUAGUAGCACUAAUAAUGGUGAUAGUAUAAAAACAGAUGCUACAAAAGAAAUAAUAAACGAUUCUAACAUAAUAAGUAUAAAAAGUAAACAUAAUUGGAACAAUGAUAAUUUAAAAAAUGAUACUGAUGAAAAUGUUAUAGCGCUUAAAGACAAUAAAGAGAAUAACAAAAAAAUAGAAAAUAAAAAAAGUAAUACUAAUAUUUUUAAUAAUAACAUCGGUAAUACAUAUACUUUUAAGGAUGGGUAUAGUAGCGAUAAUAGUAGUCAUAACGACACAGACACAUCGAGUUUACCUAAUGACACAUAUGUAACUAACUACUGUAAAGAUACAAAAGUAUAUAACGGGAGUAGUGAAAAUAUACAGGAUAAAAAUGGUGAUGAAUCAAAGAAAUGUAAUUAUAAAGAAGAAGUAAAAAAAAUAUACCAUGAUAUUAAAAACGAAAUGUAUAAAAAUAUGAAAAAAAUAUUUCAAAAAAAAGCAAUAAAAAAAAAUAACUAUAAAUUAAUGCAUUAUUUUGACUUAAGUAGGUUUCUUAGUUUUUUUGAAACAAUUUUUUUUAAAAAUUUUGAAAAUAUAUUAUAUCAUGAAAUUAUCGUUGAAAAUAUAUAUCUGAAUAUGUUUAUUUGUAUUGAUAUAUUAAAUUAUGAAUUAAAUGAAAAAAAUCAAAUUUCUCUUAAAUAUAUAUUUUUUCCUUUGCCAUUUUUACAUAAACAAAAUAAAUAUAAAAUGGUAGCUCAAUUAGAUAUUAAUAAUAAUUUAAUUAUUAAAUCUAAAAAAAAGCAAUUUUUUAAUAAAAAAAAUAUAUCUUUUUGCAUUCGUUGUAAUAAUUAUACAUACAACAAAGAACUAAACUAUCAAAAAAAUAAUCACAUAUUAGGUAAACUAAAUGAAAACAACAAAGUGUUGAAAGGAACGGUUGAGGAUGUAUUAUGUGAUUGUCCUAAUGGUUAUGAUGAUGUAAAUGCAAGCGUGAAUAAAUAUAAUAGU